GUUUAACUGCGGUGCGGUUUUAACAGUUAUAAAAACGUAUAGAUAUAUGGUAUAUAUAGAGAUUUUUGUUACUGUUAAUUGCGGUGCGGAGCGGAGCGGGGCGGUUCGUAACAUUCGAAGCCUUAGUUUUUUCAUGUUUAUCCUUUCUUUUGGGUCUAUCUUGUAAUUUAUGUUUUUGUUUAAUAUUACUAGUUGACAAAAAGAUCGAUGAUCUGACAAAACAAAUUUAAAGGUAUUUUAAUUCGUCUGAUGUCGUUUAAAGGGAAGUGUUUUUUAUUGGAUAAGUUUUAACACCCUUGAAACUCAACUAUAUGUUUAUUGAUCAUUUGGAUUUGUAUUGUGAAUGUCGUAUAUUGUUAAAUUUUUGACAAAAGCAAAUUUCGAAUAACUCUUUGGAAGUAUAUGGAGACAUAGAAUAUACAUAUAUUUUCUUUGAAAACAAACAUAAUUAAAGUGGAAAAGUUUUCUUUUACUUUUAGAGAAAUUCUCUAAGAUAGUCUUUUUAAAACAUUUAUCACAAAAAUAACUCUCAAAAAGAAAAAUGACCAAAAUAUUAUUAAAGGGUAGAACUAAAUUAAACAUAUAUCUGAAAAAUGUAUAGUUAAGUGGAAAAAAUGUAUAGUUAAAUAAAUAAUAAGCAAAUAAACAAUAUAAAAAUAAAAAUUUACACUAAACAUCUAUCGUAAUAUUACUACUUGAUAUAAAAACAAAAAAAUAGAAUAAAGAAAUAUACAAUAUAGAAAAAUUUCCUAAGAUAAUCAUUUUUAAGUUUUUGUCACAAAAAUAACCCUCGAUGAGAAAAAUGACCAAAAGAAGUUUUAUGAAAAGGGAAAAAUACAUUUAUAUCCUAAGGUUUAGAGUAAGAAGUGGGUUUUUGAGGAUAGGAUUUCAAAUUUUAAAAAAUAAAAAUAAAUAUUAAAAUUUUCAAAAUAAAAAGGGCUAUUUUGGUCAUUUUCCUCAUUGAGGACUAUUUUUGUGUCAAAAACUUAAAAAUGACUAUUUGAAUGAUAGUAUAAAAAGAAAUAUUUUAAAUGAUAGUAUAAAAGGAAAUAAUGUACAUAAAAAUUACCAUUUCUUUUAAUUCAAAAUAUUUUAAAUGAUAGUAUAAAAAGAAAUAAUGUACAUAAUAAGAAUAAAAAUAUUAUAUUACCAUUUGACAUAAAAACAAAAAAAAAAAGAAUAAAUAAAUUUAAAAUAUAGAAAAAUUCUCUAGGAUAGUCAUUUUUAAGUUUUUGUCACAAAAAUAACUCUCGAUAAGAAAAAUGACCAAAAGAAGUUUUAUUAAAGGGUAAAAAUAUAUUUAUACCCUAGGGUUAACUAAUCUAGACUUAGUGUUUAGAGUAAGGAGUGGGUUUUUGA
rnacentral:lncRNA from 1 species